AUUGAACGCUGGCGGCAGGCCUAACACAUGCAAGUCGAACGAGUGGCGGACGGGUGAGUAAUGUCUGGGAAACUGCACGAUGGCGGGGGAUAACUACUGGAAACGGUAGCUAAUACCGCAUACCAUCGGAUGUGCCCAGAUGGGAUGAGCUCGUAGGGGGGGUAACGGCUCACCUAGGCGACGCUCCCCAGCUGGUCUGAGAGGAUGACCAGCCACACUGGAACGGAGACACGGGCCAUACUCCGACGGGAGGCAGGAGUGGGGAAUAUUGCACAAUGGGCGCAAGGCUGAUGCAGCCAUGCCGCGUGUAUGAAGAAGGCCUUCGGGUUGUAAAGUACUUUCAGCGAGGAGGCGUUACUCGCAGAAGAAGCACCGGCUAACUCCGUGCCAGCAGCCGCGGUAAUAC
rnacentral:rRNA from 1 species